GACAGAGGUGCCGAGCGUUAGGCGGAAUCACUGGGCUUAAAGCGUGUGUAGGCGGACCGUUAAGUACCUUGUGAAAUCCCCCGGCUCAACCGGGGAACGGCUGGGUAUACUGGCGGUCUUGAGCCAUCCAGGGGCAGUCGGAACAGACGGUGGAGCGGUGAAAUGCGUAGAUAUCGUCUGGAACGCCGAAGGUGAAAACAGACUGCUGGGGAUGCGCUGACGCUGAGACACGAAAGCCAGGGGAGCGGAACGGG
rnacentral:rRNA from 1 species